GUAAAAUGGCUGAAAGUUAAAGCAAUAAAUUGUAAAUUUAUUUAUGAAUUAAAUUCUUUUACU
rnacentral:tRNA from 1 species